AGUGAACGCUGGCGGCGUGCUUAACACAUGCAAGUCGAACGAGAACGGAAUAUAGCUUGCUUUAUUUGUUAGGUAACUGGCGCACGGGUGAGACGUGUAUAGCUAACCUGCCCGUCAGAGAUAAAUCAGAGUUGGAAACGACUGUUACUGCUCUAUAUGCCUUUAAUAUACAUGCAUGCUGGAGAAACGUUUUAGUGCUUAAGGAUGGGUCUGGAUGUUACCAGCUUGUUGGUGAGGUAAUGGCUCACGAAGGCUAUGGCGCCUAACUGGUUUGAGAGGAUGAUCAGUCACACUGGAACUGAGACACGGUCCAGACUCCUACGGGAGGCAGCAGUGGGGAAUAUUGCACAAUGGACGAAAGUCUGAUGCAGCAACGCCGCGUGGAGGAUGACACAUUUCGGUGCGUAAACUCCUUUUAUAUAGGAAGAUAAUGACGGUACUAUAUGAAUAAGCACCGGCUAACUCCGUGCCAGCAGCCGCCGUAAGAC
rnacentral:rRNA from 1 species